rnacentral:rRNA from 1 species
GAUGAACGCUGGCGGCGUGCUUAACACAUGCAAGUCGAACGAGAAGUGGAGACGGAAACCUUCGGGCGGAAGACUUUAUUUCGAGUGGCGGACGGGUGAGUAACGCGUGGGUAACCUGCCUCAUACAGGGGGAUAACAGUUGGAAACGACUGUUAAUACCGCAUAAGACCACAGCACCGCAUGGUGCGGGGGUAAAAACUCCGGUGGUAUGAGAUGGACCCGCGUUCGAUUAGCCAGUUGGCGGGGUAACGGCCCACCAAAGCGAUGAUCGAUAGCCGAUCUGAGAGGAUGACCGGCCACAUUGGGACUGAGACACGGCCCAAACUCCUACGGGAGGCAGCAGUGGGGAAUAUUGCACAAUGGGGGAAACCCUGAUGCAGCGACGCCGCGUGAGUGAAGAAGUAUUUCGGUAUGUAAAGCUCUAUCAGCAGGGAAGAAAAUGACGGUACCUGAGUAAGAAGCCCCGGCUAACUACGUG